rnacentral:rRNA from 1 species
UGGGGAAUAUUGGACAAUGGGCGGAAGCCUGAUCCAGCCAUGCCGCGUGUGUGAAGAAGGCCUUUUGGUUGUAAAGCACUUUAAGCGAGGAGGAGGCUACUUGGAUUAAUACUCUAGGAUAGUGGACGUUACUCGCAGAAUAAGCACCGGCUAACUCUGUGCCAGCAGCCGCGGUAAUACAGAGGGUGCGAGCGUUAAUCGGAUUUACUGGGCGUAAAGCGUGCGUAGGCGGCUUCUUAAGUCGGAUGUGAAAUCCCUGAGCUUAACUUAGGAAUUGCAUUCGAUACUGGGAAGCUAGAGUAUGGGAGAGGAUGGUAAAAUUCCAGGUGUAGCGGUGAAAUGCGUAGAGAUCUGGAGGAAAACCGAUGGCGAAGGCAGCCAUCUGGCCUAAUACUGACGCUGAGGUACGAAAGCAUGGGGAGCAAACAGG